rnacentral:lncRNA from 1 species
UUCCUAAAAGUGAUACAGUUAUGCAGUAGUGUUAAAAUCUGGCGUUGUGAACAAAGAAGACCCACAAUUAAUCCCUGCAUUCUUGUCGAAAAGACUCAUCAAAUGCUGAAGCAGCUCAGCUAAAGAUGGUUUGGGGGAUCUUGGAAUGGAUCAAAACAGACCACGAUGCUUAGAAACAUCUCUGAACAAGUAAGGAGACAUCAGGUAACUUGUAGUAGGAUGGACUGAAAUUGAAUAGGUCUGAGAAUUAGGGAUUAGGGAUGGCAGCUCAGAUCUAUUUAGGUAAACAGAAUAAUUCAGGGAGGCUGAUACGGUUAAGAUAGCUCAGGAUAAGGUAGGCUAGCAUUGUAGUGUUAGGACAGUGACCUGAGAAA